CGUAGUAUAUGAGUUGUGCCAUAAUUCCGGCUUGUCCUAGCUUGUUCUUGUCACCUUUCUUGGGACGAAAACAAAAAUUCCCUGCAGACCACGCAUAAUUGUCGCUACCCAACUUUAUAUCGCCGCUAGCUUGCUGCAAGGGCAUAGCCUCAGAACCGAGCAAGCUAUAAGGUAAGUCAUCGAAAAAACUGUUUUUCUUCACGCCACGAUAGAAAUAACUUGAUGUGUACAUAGAAAAGAUAUCUGCAUUCGUGUAGUUGUCCAAUUUAGGAUCAUCGGCUCAAAAUAAAAUGAAUUACAGCUUUUGAUCCGUCAACCGAAACCAAAACAUUGUUAUUUUUUGUUUGUUGCAAAA